rnacentral:lncRNA from 1 species
UAUUUAUUAAACAUUAGUCUUAUUGGGGGGAGGUCAUGCAUGCAGACAUGACAUUUGGAGGGCAAUUAUGUGUGCUGUUAAUGUGCAAUUAAAGGAUAAAUGCACUCAUUUACAAUAUAGGCAGAAAAAUGUAACUUGCUCAUGUUUAAAAAUGGAAUGGAAUCAGAGCCAGAUCUUGAUGAAUGGGAAAAUUUGGGAGGGACACUUGGAGGCUGGCAUCAGGGUUAGUGCCUUAUUUGUUUGGCAUUUGAGAGGAAAGGGAAGGAGUCUCAAUUACCAUUUUUGGAAGAGAAGCAUAUUAAGGAAAUACAAGGCACAAUAUGACAACCAGCAGUUUCAAUUUAGAAAAGAGUAAAAUAUUUUUAGAUUUGUGAAAAUGUUAACCAGAGUUUCUCAGCGUAACAUGAGGUAAAUGCUAGUUUCAGAAAUGAUUCUAUUGCCACCAAGAGAAUUUCUGGGAAAUCGAUGUUUCAUGCACACACAAAGCCACUUAUUUAUUUAUUUUUUGGUUUCAUUUUAGUGUCUUGGCAUUUGUUCACAAAUAGGUGAUGAAAAAUUAGUCAUAUUUUAGACAUUUAUAAAUUUUCCAUUAAGAGUGUAUUACAUCAGGCACUGACUUAAUAUUUUAUAAAUUAAACACUAACUUAUGAACAGGGCACAAGUUUUUUGCGUGUGUGUGUGUGUGUGUGUAUGAAUACUGUAUUUAUCUAAUUCUUUUUUUUUAAUUUUAUUUUAUUUUUAUUAGGUAUUUUCCUCGUUUAAUUUUCAAUGCUAUCCCAAAAGUCCGCCAUACCCACCCCCCCAAUCCACUACCCACCUACUCCCACGUUUUGGCCCUGGGGUUCCCCUGUACUGGGGCAUAUACAGUUUGCAAGUCCAAUGGGCCUCUCUUUGCAGUGAUGGCCGACUAGGCCAUCUUUUGAUACAUAUGCAGCUAGAGUCAAGAGCUCCGGGGUAUUGGUUAGUUCAUAAUGUUGUUCCAACUAUAGGGUUGCAGUUCCCUUUAGCUCCUUGGGUAAUUUCUCUAGCUCCUCCAUUGGGGGCCAUGUGACCCAUCCAAUAGCUGACUGUGAUCAUCCACUUCUGUGUUUGCUAGGCCCCUGCAUAGUCUCACAAGAGACAGCUAUAUCUGGGUCCUUUCAGCAAAUUCUUGCUAGUGUAUGCAAUGGUGUCAGCAUUUGGGAGCUGAUUAUGGGAUGGAUCCCUGCAUAUGGCAAUCUCUAGAUGGUCCAUCCUUUCGUCACAGCUCCAAAUUUUGUCUCUGUAACUCCUUCAAUGGGUGUUUAGUUCCCAUUUCUAAGAAGGGGCAAAGUGUCCACACUUUGGUCUUCAUUCUUCUUGAAUUUCAUGUGUUUAGCAAAUUGUAUCUUAUAUCUUGGGUAUCCUAAGUUUCUGGGCUAAUAUCCACUUAUCAGUGAGUACAUAUUGUGCGAGUUCCUUUGUGUUUGGGUUACCUCACUCAGGAUGAUGCCCUCCAGGUCCAUCCAUUUGCCUAGGAAUUUCAUAAGUUCAUUUUUUUAAUAGCUGAGUAGUAUUCCAUUGUGUAAAUAUACCACAUUUUCUGUAUCCAUUCCUCUGUUGAGGGGCAUCUGGGUUCUUUCCAGCAUCUGGCUAUUAUAAAUAAGGCUGCUAUGAACAUAGUGGAGCAUGUAGGACACACGUUUUUAAAGCAUGGCAUGCAGCUGUCUUAGGAUGUCCUACAAUCACCUUGCUUUUCACCUAUAUUGAAAGCUAUUUUCCUCUCAAUUUUUUUCCAAGGGAAGGUAUUUUCUCCUUUCCUUCAUAUCUGUUUUUGAAUCAAAGGUAUAUUGAAAUCAUUGCAGAACACAUUCCAAAAUAAUUCUGAGAUUUAAAAACUUAGUUCCCAGAACACAGUGAUUUUUCUCAUACCUUGUAUAGAAACCUGGUUAUAGAUAUUGGGGAAAAAAAAACCAAAUAAAUAAUGAUCUUCUUCUCCAUGGAAGAGAUUCUGCUCACAAAGUAAGUAAGUAAGUAAGUAAAUAAAUAAAUAAAUAACAAUCCAAACAAACAAAAAUAACC